AUUGAACGCUGGCGGAAUGCUUUACACAUGCAAGUCGAACGGCAGCACGGGGGCAACCCUGGUGGCGAGUGGCGAACGGGUGAGUAAUACAUCGGAACGUGCCCAGUCGUGGGGGAUAACGUAGCGAAAGUUACGCUAAUACCGCAUACGAUCUAUGGAUGAAAGCGGGGGACCGUAAGGCCUCGCGCGAUUGGAGCGGCCGAUGUCAGAUUAGGUAGUUGGUGGGGUAAAGGCUCACCAAGCCGACGAUCUGUAGCUGGUCUGAGAGGUCGACCAGCCACACUGGGACUGAGACACGGCCCAGACUCCUACGGGAGGCAGCAGUGGGGAAUUUUGGACAAUGGGCGCAAGCCUGAUCCAGCCAUUCCGCGUGCAGGAUGAAGGCCCUCGGGUUGUAAACUGCUUUUGUACGGAACGAAACGGUCUGCUCUAAUACAGCGGGCUAAUGACGGUACCGUAAGAAUAAGCACCGGCUAACUACGUGCCAGCAGCCGCAGUAA
rnacentral:rRNA from 1 species